rnacentral:rRNA from 1 species
AUUGCACGCUAGCGGGAUGCUUUACACAUGCAAGUAGAACGAGCGGCGGACGGGUGAGUAAUAUAUCGGACAGUGCCAAGUAGCGGGGGAUAACUACCCGGAAGAGUGGCUAAUACCGCAUACUCUUGGAGCGGCCGAUAGCGGCUUAGCGCGUUGGUGGGGUAAAGGCUAACCAAGGCAACGAUCCGUAGCUGGUUUGAGAGGACGACCAGCCACACGGUGACUGAGCCACGGCCCAGACUCCUACGGGAGGCAGCAGUGGGGAAGUGUGGACAAGGGGGGAAACCCUGAUCCAGCCAUCCCGCGUGUAUGAGAAGGCCUUCGGGUUGUAAAGUACGUUUAGCAGAGAAGCGGUAUCUGCAGAAUAAGCACCGGCUAACUACGUGCCAGCCGCCGCGGUAAUUC